rnacentral:rRNA from 1 species
GUCAAGUCAUCAUGGUCCUUACGCCCAGGGCUACACACGUGCUACAAUGGCAUCUACAGAGUGUUGCGAACCGGCGACGGUAAGCCAAUCACAAAAAGGAUGUCUCAGUUCGGAUUGCAGGCUGCAACUCGCCUGCAUGAAGUUGGAAUCGCUAGUAAUCGCGCAUCAGCAAUGGCGCGGUGAAUACGUUCCCGGACCUU